GCCCCCGUACCGCCCCCUUGAAGCGCGUGUCCGCACCGCCAUCGCAGGUCAGUGCCAGCUUCCAUGGUCCGUUCAAAACCCGUCCAGUGUGAGUUCGAAUCUCACCGGGGGCA
rnacentral:tRNA from 2 species